ensembl:lncRNA
UUCCAUGCAGAGCCUUUUUAUUGCCAUGCACCCAUAGCAGCCGUGCCCCAUAUCUGUGGGGCAGCCCCAUAUCUGUGGGGCAGCCCCAUAAGAGGCCCAGAUCUGUGGGGCAGCCCCAUAGCAGAGAUCCAGAUCUAUGGGGCAGCACCAUAGCAGGAGCCCAUAGCAGAGAUCCAGAUCUGUGGGGCUGCCCCAUAGCAGAGACGCAGAUCAAUGGGACAGCCCCAUAGCAGCAGAGAUGCAGAUCUAUGGGGCAGCCCCAUAGCAGAGAUCCAGAUCUGUGGGGCAGCCCCAUAGCAGAGACCCAGAUCUAUGGGGCAGCCCCAUAGCAGCAGAGAUGCAGAUCUAUGGGGCAGCCCCAUAGCAGUGCCCCAUAUCAGUGGGGCAGCCCCAUAGCAGCAGAGAUCCAUAUCAGUGGGGCAGCCCCAUAUCAGAGGUCCAUAUCAGUGGGGCAGCCCCAUAGCAGAGACGCAGAUCUAUGGGGCAGCCCCAUAGCAGCAGAGAUCCAGAUCUAUGGGGCAGCCCCAUAGCAGAGAUCCAUAUUAGUGGGGCAGCCCCAUAGCAGCACCCCAUAGCAGAGAUCCAGAUCUAUGGGGCUGCCCCAUAGCAGAGAUGCAGAUCUAUGGGGCAGCACCAUAGCAGCAGAGAUGCAGAUCUAUGGGGCAGCCCCAUAGCAGAGACGCAGAUCUAUGGGGCAGCCCCAUAGCGAUGCCUCAUAUCAGUGGGGCAGCCCCAUAGCAGCAGAGAUGCAGAUCUAUGGGGCAGCCCCAUAACAGUGCCCCAUAUCAGUGGGGCAGCCCCAUAGCAGCAGAGAUCCAUAUCAGUGGGGCAGCCCCGUAGCAGAGAUGCAGAUCUAUGGGGCAGCCCCAUAGCGAUGCCUCAUAUCAGUGGGGCAGCCCCAUAGCAGCAGAGAUCCACAUCAGUGGGGCAGCCCCAUAGCAGCAGAGAUGUAGAUCUAUGGGGCAGCCCCAUAGCAGAGACGCAGAUCUAUGGGGCAGCCCCAUAGCAGAGACCCAUAGCGAUGCCUCAUAUCUAUGGGGCAGCCCCAUAGCAGAGCCGCAGAUGUGUGGGGCAGCCCCAUAGCAGCAGAGAUCCAUAUCAGUGGGGCAGCCCCAUAUCAGAGGUCCAUAUCAGUGGGGCAGCCCCAUAGCGAUGCCUCGUAUCUAUGGGGCAGCCCCAUAGCAGAGCCGCAGAUGUGUGGGGCAGCCCCAUAAGUGGCGGCAGGUGUGGAUGUGGGGUCCUCAUUGGAACACUGUGGGGA